AAUUAUCAAAAGCAGCGCCAAACGCCGUAAUAAAUGUUAAUAAAUUAAUAUUUUUUUUCUAAUCUCGAAAUAUUCCAAAAAGCAACAUCGGAUACUCCCCAGAAUCAUCCAAAAUCAGGUGGUCGGUUUCAGUUGAUUGAGUCAGCUGAGAGUACGUUUUUUUUUUUUUUUUCAUCCUUGAGGAUUUUUUUAAAUUUUAUCAUAUUAUCAUUAUAAUAUUAUAAUUUUUUCGGUAAAAGAAAAAGAUUAUACGAAUUCAUGCCCUUAGUAGUAUACGAAUCUGGAUAGAGAAGAAAUGCGUCUCCAUUCCAAGCAGAAAAAAACCAAGUUAAAGCCUUAAUCUUCAUGAGGAAGAAAUACAAUUUAGUAGGCCAUCACAACGGCGAAUCGUUGUGCCAUUAAAUCAAUAUUACCAGAACUUCAUUACAGAAGUGUCGAUGUUAAUUGACAUAUAAGCUCAUUGAUUGACCCAAAACAAGUCAAAACAUUGUGUGGCCAGAUGAAUUUGUUCCUAAGGCUUCACCGUUCAUGCAUCCAAAAUCUUUAGCCUUUUGGUCGAGAUCCUGAUUAUAGUCCUACCCUUUCUUUGAUCAUAGAAUAGAAGAGGUGCUAACUGGUUUUGUCAAAAUUUACAAUUGGCUCGUGUUCAAAAUUCAAUUUAUUUGUGGUACCACCUGAUAAUGCCAUCCAAGCUAUGCUAUGUUUAAACUCUACAGGGCAGCUUAUUGUUAAAUGAUGAUCCAAGGAUUCUCCAUAGGCAUUAGAGACCUUACAUAGGUAAUCCCUUUUUACAAGAUCUCGUUUCAUCUUUCAUUAUUUACUUUUUCAUCCUUCUGCCCAUCAUACAAAACAUUACUGAUGGAGAAAAUACUGCUGGACAGUGGUUACGCUACGUACGACAGAUACACUCCGUCUUCUUACCAUAGGUCAUCACCUGGCUUGCCUUCCCUGCAGUAAUGAAGAAGAGUCAUUGCUACCGAAUGAAAGCUGUUUUUAUGUUAUUUAUUCUUAUUGAAUUUUGAUUGAGGAGUCAAGUCCGGAAGCGUUACAAGAUGGAAGGGUCGGCCUACAGUUGAAUAAAACAUUUUAAGCGCAUUAUCUUUGGAAAACGAGUGGAGUAAUGCAAAUUUUCUAAAGAGAAGUAUCAUCGUGCUUUAAUGAAUCGGGUAUAACAGCAUUCCUUUAUAGUUCAGUCACAGCUAGAAGCCUCAAAUGAUUCUGCUACUCUUGCUAAGGAAUGUUUGUCCACUUUGCGCUGAGAGCGUAGGUAAAACUGGGCACUUAAAUUACCCUAAAGACUUUUCGCUACGCUUGCGUUGCAUCAACAAACAUCAUGUAGGGAGUUCCUAGGAUUAAGGAAAUCAUUAACGGCUAAAAGGACACCAGCACACCUGGCCUUUAUCCAGCUCCUGAUCAAUGGCAACGAGGAAUAAGCGCAACGAGUAAUAAUCCUAAUUACAAAUGACAACGUGACUGACAUUCUAGCACUGGAUGCUUGUGGAUAAAAUCCCAUCAGAGGUAAAUAGUACACACUAUGUUUGCUGAUUCACUUUAUUGACGUUAUCCCUGACAGUUUACAAGCGUUUUAGUAAUUUACCUUGGGCUACUAUAAAUUAUUAUUACAAGUGUGUACUUAGAGAAGAACAAAGCUCAUUUUUUAGAUAUCCGAAAUUUCAACUUCCGGUUUUACUUCCGGUUUUAAAAUGCCAAAUAACUCCUUAUUUGUUGGUCUGUCAGAAAAAAGAUUAUCAUUUUCCUGAUGGUUAUCAAAUUUGGGGUCGACUCCAUGUAUCAGUUCAAACAACCCGAAAAUCGUCAAAAAUCGCGAAUUUUCCUGAAGUUCAUGAAAAAUCGCAAUUUUGGUCAAAUUCGAUUUUUGGCUGAAAAACAAUUUUUGUCAUUCCAACCCCAAAUUUGACAACCAUCACGAAAAUUCUAUUCGUUUUGUUAUGGGAUCCCUAUUUCCGGAGAUAUUGGCUACUUUCGGUUACUUCCGGGAAAUUUUGGUGACAAUUAGCAAAAAGUAAAAAAUGAGCUGUAUUAUUCUAACAAUUUCAAAUGUUUUUCUUGCAUGCGUUAGGGUGUUGUGUAGCUUUUAUUCCGUGUUUUUCUUGUUAUCAGCAGUAAAGGCUGACCCUACGAGCAACGACAGUUUUAGCUACAAAUGUUUAGCGCCUCGUCUUGAAACUAGUAGUUGAUAUUCUAGGUUUUUAUAUUUAAAAUUGAAAUCAACUGUCUGAGGUUAGUAAAGUUCAAUUAGUAAAGUUCAAGCACUCAAAAGCAAAAAUUAUACUGAUAAAAAAGUAAAAUCUAUUUUCGUUGGGUUUCAGGAGGAAAAACUAGAUGGCGUUGACAUGCACUAUGAUAAAGAUGACGAAUGCUAAGUAAAAUACGUGCUGGUAAUCAAUCAAUGCUGGCUGUUCUACACUUGGAGAAUAAUGGUUCAGUGAUUGGGUACAACACCACUCCAAUCCAUAGUGGCAAUUUUCAUUUCUGUGCAAGUGCCCUUCUAACUCUUGACGUAGCAAGGUGAAGAGAAAACUUGGAUUUCGUAUCUGCGUACAAUUCGAAAAUUUUACGCAGAUAGAGAUGCUGCAUUUUCGAAGAAAGCUUCUUCCACAUCACCGCUGGUCGCUACUUGGUCGCGAAGAUAAAAUAUAAACAUUUUUACAAAUUAAA
rnacentral:lncRNA from 1 species